rnacentral:rRNA from 1 species
AUGAAACGCCCUGUGCGUGUGCACGAUGUCCAGAAGCUUACUGGAUGCUUGGCCACGUUAAGUCGAUUCAUCUCUCGCCUCGGUGAAAAGGCGUUGCCUCUUUACCGACCGAUGAAGAAGACAGACAAGUUCGAGUGGACUCCAGAAGCUGAUGCAGCGUUUGCCGAGCUAAAAGCUCUGCUCUCCACCCAGCCGGUGCUUGCUGCUCCAAUCAGCAAAGAGCCUCUGUUGCUUUACAUUGCAGCCACAGGACAUGUCGUCAGUACAGUACUUACGGUCGAGCAGGAAGAGGAAGGUAAAACCUUCUAA